rnacentral:rRNA from 1 species
UACGUAGGCAGCGAGCGUUGUUCGGAGUUACUGGGCGUGAAGGGUGUGUAGGCGGUUAUUUAAGUUUGGUGUGAAAUCUCCCGGCUUAACUGGGAGGGUGCGCCGAAUACUGAAUGACUUGGAGUGCGGGAGAGGAAAGUGGAAUUCCUGGUGUAGCGGUGAAAUGCGUAGAUAUCAGGAGGAACACCGGUGGUGUAGACGGCUUUCUGGACCGUAACUGACGCUGAGACACGAAAGCGUGGGUAGCAAACAGG